AAUUAUCUUAAAUGAUGAUAUGUUUUAGUAGGAAUCUCAUUGAGCUUCAGUCAUUCGUUGCCAUGAAAUCAAUUUAAAUCUCUGAUACAACAAAU